AGCAGCCGCGGUAAUUCCAGCUCCAAUAGCGUAUAUUAAAGUUGUUGCAGUUAAAAAGCUCGUAGUUGAAUUUCGGGAUCAGCGCGUCGGUCGUGCCUCCGGUAUGCACUGGCGCCGCUGGUUUCUCCCUUCUGAGGAACCGUGAUGUCAUUAAUUUGGUGUCGCGGGAAAUCAGGACUGUUACUUUGAAAAAAUUAGAGUGUUUAAAGCGGGCACGCGCUUGAAUACAUUAGCAUGGAAUAACGAAAUAGGACGUUCGAUCUUAUUUUGUUGGUUUU
rnacentral:rRNA from 1 species